rnacentral:rRNA from 1 species
AUUGAACGCUGGCGGCAUGCCUUACACAUGCAAGUCGAACGGCAGCACGGGUGCUUGCACCUGCUGGCGACUGGCGAACGGGUGAGUAAUACAUCCGUACAUGUCCUGUAGUGGGGGAUAGCCCGUCGAAAGCCUGAUUAAUCCCGCAUACUAUCUACGGAUGAAAGCGGGCGUCCUUCCUCCCUCGCUCUCUACGGUUGGCCGAUGGCUGAUUAGCUAGUUGGUGGGGUAAAGGCCUACCAAGGCGACGAUCAGUAGCUGGUAUGAGAGGACGACCAGCCACACUGGGACUGAGACACGGCCCAGACUCCUACGGGAGGCAGCAGUGGGGAAUUUUGGACAAUGGGCGAAAGCCUGAUACAGCAAUGCCGCGUGUGGGAAGAAGGCCUUCGGGUUGUAAAGCACUUUUGUCCGGAAAGAAAAGGUUGGGUAUAAUACAGUCGGGGGAUGACGGUACCGGAAGAAUAAGCACCGGCUAACUACGUG